AAUGAACGUUGGCGGCGUGGAUUAGGCAUGCAAGUCGAACGAAUCCCGGACCUGUAGCAAUACAGAGCCGGGGGAAGUGGCGAAAGGGGCAGUAAUGUUUGGGUAACCUACCCUGAGGUCGUGGAUAGCCUUUCUAACGAUUGGGUAAUACACGGCGUGAUAGCGAUAAGGCAUCUUGUUGCUAUGAAAGAAUUUCGCCUCGGGAGGGGCCCAAAUGAUAUUAGCUAGUUGGUGAGGUAACGGCUCACCAAGGCGAAGAUGUCUAGCGGGUGUGAGAGCACGACCCGCGCCACUGGCACUGAGACACUGGCCAGACUCCUACGGGAGGCUGCAGUCGAGAAUCUUCGGCAAUGGGCGAAAGCCUGACCGAGCGACGCCGCGUGUGCGAUGAAGGCCUUCGGGUUGUAAAGCACUGUCGAGGGGGAGGAAGCCGCAAGGUUGACCUAUCCCUGGAGGAAGCACGGGCUAAGUUCGUGCCAGCCGCCGCAGUAACAC
rnacentral:rRNA from 1 species